AUUGAACGCUGGCGGCAGGCCUAACACAUGCAAGUCGAGCGGAAACGAGAAUAGCUUGCUAUUCGGCGUCGAGCGGCGGACGGGUGAGUAAUGCCUGGGAAAUUGCCCUGAUGUGGGGGAUAACCAUUGGAAACGAUGGCUAAUACCGCAUAAUAGCUUCGGCUUAAAGAGGGGGACCUUCGGGCCUCUCGCUUCAGGAUAUGCCCAGGUGGGAUUAGCUAGUUGGUGAGGUAAGGCUCACCAAGGCGACGAUCCCUAGCUGGUCUGAGAGGAUGAUCAGCCACACUGGAACUGAGACACGGUCCAGACUCCUACGGGAGGCAGCAGUGGGGAAUAUUGCACAAUGGGCGCAAGCCUGAUGCAGCCAUGCCGCGUGUAUGAAGAAGGCCUUCGGGUUGUAAAGUACUUUCAGCAGUGAGGAAGGGUGUGUAGUUAAUAGCUGCAUACUUUGACGUUAGCUGCAGAAGAAGCACCGGCUAACUCCGUGCCAGCAGCCGCGGUAAUACGGAGGGUGCGAGCGUUAAUCGGAAUUACUGGGCGUAAAGCGCAUGCAGGUGGUUUGUUAAGUCAGAUGUGAAAGCCCGGGGCUCAACCUCGGAACCGCAUUUGAAACUGGCAGGCUAGAGUACUGUAGAGGGGGGUAGAAUUUCA
rnacentral:rRNA from 1 species